GGACAUGGAGGCAUUUAAAAGUGUCUGAAUGAAAGAAUACAAGCCUAACUUCUGACUUCCUGACUCCCCACCCUUUAAGUGGGGCCUGGGGAGGUCUUCAUUCGACAGCAAACAUCUACGGAGGACCUGGCUCUUGCCCGGAGAAAGGGGAUCUAAGGCCAAGAAAAUGGGCAAAUGGACAUUUUUGCCUCCGUGUGGAUCCCAGGCGGUAUGUGUGCGCCCAAACAGCAUCCACGGUGCUGCUCUGGGUGGAUCCUUUUCCUGGCGUUCUCUCUCCCAUCUUGGAUAACGUUCUAUGAGUCUAGAAAAUCCAGCACACAAGGCAAGGAAGGGAAGUCUCAGCCACACUGCAUCACAGCACAAGUCCCGGCACCACAGAAGAAUGGGCAGAAAGAGCCCUUUUCUCGUAGAGAGAACUCACUGGACUCUUUCAGAUGAAAAUUAAGUUAGAUUAAGGAGAAUCGGAGGGAAUAUCUGCAUUAAACCACCAGACCUUACCUGUGCUAAGAAAUCACCACAAAGAGGAUUCUUGCCCCAACACUGCCUCAGUUUCCUUUCUAUGAAGCUCUUUCUGUGAACGUAAGGUAGAGAUGUCAAAGUGAGGUAACAAUCCUGAAAGAUAAAUCUGGGCUAUUUUUAAUACCAGGGCUAGCUGGUGGUUUAAUAUUAGUGGAGUCAAAUGAAACAGAAUGUGACAACACCACCAGUUAGUGCUCGUGCCUGCGCCAGUAGCAUUUUUCAACAUUGUGGAGAAUUGCAAAGGAAUAAAGCAUAAUCUGUGAUACCAAGGC
rnacentral:lncRNA from 1 species